UUCGCAAUGCCCGAAAGGGUGACGAAGCGACGCCGCGUGUGGGAAGAAGGCCUUCGGGUUGUAAACCACUGUCGGGAGUUAAGAAAUGUAAGGAUGUUAAUAGCGUUCUUACUUGACUAAGGCUCCGGAGGAAGCCACGGCUAACUCUGUGCCAGCAGCCGCGGUAAUACAGAGGCGGCAAGCGUUGUUCGGAAUUAUUGGGCGUAAAGAGCACGUAGGCGGCUAUGUAAGUCAGGUGUGAAAGCCCCCGGCUCACCCGGGGAACUGCAUUUGAUACUGCUUGGCUUGAGUGAAGAAGGGGAGAGUGGAACUGCUGGUGGAGCGGUAAAAUGCGUAGAUAUCAGCAGGAACGCCGGUGGAGAAGUCGACUCUCUGGUCUUUAACUGACGCUGAGUGUGCGAAAGCUAGGGGAGCAAACGGAAUUAGAUACCCCGGUAGUCCUAGCCGUAAACGAUGGGCACUAAGUAGAGGGGUUUU
rnacentral:rRNA from 1 species